AGCUCAUGGCCCUCCAGACAGAACAAAGGGGUCCCAAAAUGCCUAGCGUGGAAUCACAGAAUGGCCCAGGCUUGAACCAUCUCUAUUCCCAGAGAUAGUCACAGAGAUGCACGCUAUGGGACAGUCUUGGCAGGGUCUUUGAGGAGGAAGUGGAUUCAGCAGGAUGAUGGGGCUGGCAUCGUGGAUGCCAGCAACGUGGAUGCCUGUUGGUGGUGUGCUGAUGCUACACACAUGCAUUCACACAUAUAUGCAGACACAUGUACACACACACAUGCACACACACACUAAAAACACCCACAGACAUGCAUGCUUUUACAUUUAUUUAUGAUAGGUGUGCCCCAGAGAGGAGUAUCUUUUACCAGUUGCUCUGGUUGUUUCUGACUUCUGGAAGAGUCUGGACAGAGAAAUCCCCAGCAUAUCCUGCAUCUCAUUCUUGGUGUGAAGCAGGAACACGCACUCAUUCCUAUUUGGCUAUAGUCUUCACAGCUUUCUACUGUUUCUUUUAAAAGAAGGAAACUAAAAUAAUAUAAUUCAAUGUUGUCCAGUCAGCUUUGAUUACUGUCGGUCCCUGUGUGUGAAGUGCUGUGCUGGCUUGAACGGGACAUGCAAAAAUCAAGAAGGCAAGGUCCAGUCCUUAAAGCCCUAGAGCAAGGGUUGACAAACCACAGUACUUGGGCUAAACCCAGCCCACCACCUGUUUUUGCAAAUAAAGUUUUAUUGGAACACA
rnacentral:lncRNA from 1 species